AGAGUUUGAUCAUGGCUCAGGAUGAACGCUAGCGGCAGGCCUAAUACAUGCAAGCCGAACGGCAAGUUGAGUAGCAAUACUUGACCUAGAGUGGCGUAAGGGUGCGUAACACGUAUGCAAUCUGCCCGCAACAGGAGGAUAGCUCCCCGAAAGGGGAAUUAAUACUCCAUGAGAUCACACGAGGGCAUCUGAGGGUGAUUAAACUACAAGGGGUUGCGGAUGAGCAUGCGGUUGAUUAGCUAGUUGGCGGGGUAACGGCCCACCAAGGCGAUGAUCAAUAGGGGAACUGAGAGGUUUAUCCCCCACACUGGCACUGAGAUACGGGCCAGACUCCUACGGGAGGCAGCAGUAGGGAAUAUUGGACAAUGGGCGAGAGCCUGAUCCAGCCAUGCCGCGUGCAGGAAGAAGGCCUUCUGGGUUGUAAACUGCUUUUGCCAGGGGAUAAAAAGUCCCUGCGGGGAAAAUUGAAGGUACCUGGUGAAUAAGCCACGGCUAACUACGUGCCAGCAGCCGCGGUAAUACGUAGGUGGCAAGCGUUGUCCGGAUUUAUUGGGUUUAAAGGGUGCGUAGGCGGUUCUAUAAGUCAGUGGUGAAAUACGGCAGCUCAACUGUCGAGGUGCCAUUGAUACUGUAGAACUUGAGUACAGACGAGGUAGGCGGAAUUGACGGUGUAGCGGUGAAAUGCUUAGAUAUCGUCAAGAACACCGAUAGCGAAGGCAGCUUACUAGGCUGUAACUGACGCUGAGGCACGAAAGUGUGGGGAUCAAACAGGAUUAGAUACCCUAGUAGUCC
rnacentral:rRNA from 1 species